GAUGAACGCUGACAGAAUGCUUAACACAUGCAAGUCUUUGGCGAAGCUGUGCUUGCACAGCCUAGCCAAGGCGGACGGGUGAGUAACGCGUAAGGAACUUGCCCUGCAGUCAGGGAUAACAGACGGAAACGACUGAUAAGACCUGGUAAAGUCAGGCGGACUCAUGUCCAGCCUGAUGAAAAGAGAUGCUGCAGGAGAGCCUUGCGUCCUAUUAGCUUGUUGGUGGGGUAACGGCCCACCAAGGCGAUGAUAGGUAGCCGGCCUGAGAGGGUGGACGGCCACAAGGGGACUGAGAUACGGCCCUUACUCCUACGGGAGGCAGCAGUGGGGAAUAUUGGACAAUGGGGGCAACCCUGAUCCAGCAAUUCUGUGUGCACGAUGAAGGUUUUCGGAUUGUAAAGUGCUUUCAGCAAGGAAGAAAAAAAUGACGGUACCUGCAGAAGAAGCGACGGCUAAAUACGUGCCAGCAGCCGCGGUAAUACGUAUGUCGCAAGCGUUAUCUGGAAUUAUUGGGCAUAAAGGGCAUCUAGGCGGCCAGAUAAGUCUAGGGUGAAAACUUGCGGCUCAACCGCAAGCCUGCCCUGGAAACUAUGUGGCUAGAGUACUGGAGAGGUGGACGGAACUGCACGAGUAGAGGUGAAAUUCGUAGAUAUGUGCAGGAAUGCCGAUGAUGAAGAUAGUUCACUGGACGGUAACUGACGCUGAAGUGCGAAAGCUAGGGGAGCAAACAGG
rnacentral:rRNA from 1 species